rnacentral:misc_RNA from 1 species
UCCUGGUUAACCCAGGCAGUCUCACUAGAGUUCCCACCAUUGCGUGUUGGCAACUAGUAAUAAGGGUUGCGCUCGUUGCUGGACUUAACCAAACACCUCACGGCACGAGCUGACGACAGCCAUGCAGCACCUGUGCACAGGCCCCGAAGGGAAACUAUAUCUCUACAGUCGUCCUGUGCAUGUCAAUUCUGGGUAAGGUUCUUCGCGUUGCAUCGAAUUAAACCACAUGCUCCACUGCUUGUGCGGGUCCCCGUCAAUUCUUUUGAGUUUCACCCUUGCGAGCGUACUCCCCAGGCGGUAUACUUAUCGCGUUAGCUUCGGCACAACCAGGGUUGAGUCCGGUUACACCAAGUAUACAUCGUUUACGGCAAGGACUAC